rnacentral:rRNA from 1 species
UACGGAGGGCGCGAGCGUUGUCCGGAAUCACUGGGCGUAAAGGGUGCGCAGGCGGCCAAGUGUGUGAGGCGUGAAAGCCCGAAGCUUAACUUCGGAAUUGCACCUCAAACUACAUGGCUAGAGCAUUGGAGAGGGUAGCGGAAUUCACGGUGUAGCAGUGAAAUGCGUAGAUAUCGUGAGGAACACCAGAGGCGAAGGCGGCUACCUGGACAAUUGCUGACGCUCAGGCACGAAAGCGUGGGGAGCAAAAGGG